AUGGUUUUCAAACUAGACUUCAGGAAAGCUUUCGACUCGGUCGCUUGGCCUGCUCUGGACAAAAUCCUCCUCGCCCGGGGCUUCUCACACACCUUCCACAGCUGGAUCCAGAAUAUCCUAGUGACAGGCAAAACCGCCAUUCUUUUGAAUGGCAUCCCAGGC
rnacentral:rRNA from 1 species